UCCCCUGUGGUGUAAUCGGCAACACAGUCCGCUUUGGACGGAUCAUUCCAGGUUCGAGUCCUGGCAGGGGAGCCC
rnacentral:tRNA from 1 species